rnacentral:rRNA from 1 species
AGUGAACGCUGGCGGUAGGCCUAACACAAGCAAGUCGAACGGCAGCACAGGAGAGCUUGCUCUCUGGGUGGCGAGUGGCGGACGGGUGAGGAAUACAUCGGAAUCUACUCUGUCGUGGGGGAUAACGUAGGGAAACUUACGCUAAUACCGCAUACGACCUACGGGUGAAAGCAGGGGACCUUCGGGCCUUGCGCGAUUGAAUGAGCCGAUGUCGGAUUAGCUAGUUGGCGGGGUAAAGGCCCACCAAGGCGACGAUCCGUAGCUGGUCUGAGGGGAUGAUCAGCCACACUGGAACUGAGACACGGUCCAGACUCCUACGGGAGUCAGCAGUGGGGAAUAUUGGACAAUGGGCGCAAGCCUGAUCCAGCCAUACCACGUGGGUGAAGAAGGCCUUCGGGUUGUAAAGCCCUUUUGUUGGGAAAGAAAUCCAGCUGGCUAAUACCCGGUUGGGAUGACGGUACCCAAAGAAUAAGCACCGGCUAACUUCGUGCCAGCAGCCGCGGUAA